rnacentral:rRNA from 1 species
AUGUCAACAUGAGCUAAUUUAGGGUUACAAAAUAGAGCCUCCCCGCUAAUAGAACAGCUAACCUUCUUCCAUGACCACGCCCUUCUAAUUUUAGUUAUAAUUACUGUUUUAGUAGGUUAUUUAAUAUUUAUAUUAUUUUUUAAUAAUUAUACAAACCGAUUUUUGCUCCACGGACAAACUAUUGAAGUAAUUUGAACAAUUCUCCCAGCAAUUGUACUUUUAUUCAUUGCUCUCCCUUCAUUACGCCUACUUUAUCUUCUAGACGAAAUUAAUGAACCUGUAAUUACAUUAAAAUCUAUUGGACACCAAUGAUAUUGAAGUUAUGAAUAUUCCGAUUUUGUAGACAUUGAAUUUGACUCAUAUAUAAUUCCAACUAAUGAAUUAUCACAAGAUGGAUUUCGUUUAUUGGAUGUAGAUAAUCGAAUUAUUAUCCCAACAAAUUCUCAAAUUCGGGUAUUAGUUACAGCCGCUGAUGUAAUUCAUUCCUGAACUGUCCCGGCCCUAGGAGUAAAAGUAGAUGGAACUCCUGGACGACUAAAUCAAACUAAUUUCUUAGUUAGUCGUCCAGGAAUAUUUUUUGGCCAAUGCUCAGAAAUCUGCGGAGCAAAUCAUAGUUUUAUACCUAUUGUUAUUGAAAGUGUUCCUAUUAAUUAUUUUGUCAAAUGAAUUCGU